rnacentral:rRNA from 1 species
GAUGAACGCUAGCUACAGGCUUAACACAUGCAAGUCGAGGGGAAACGAUAUUGGAAGCUUGCUUCCGAUAGGCGUCGACCGGCGCACGGGUGAGUAACGCGUAUCCAACCUGCCCAUCACUUGGGGAUAACCUUGCGAAAGUAAGACUAAUACCCAAUGACGUCUCUAGAAGACAUCUGAAGGAGAUUAAAGAUUUAUCGGUGAUGGAUGGGGAUGCGUCUGAUUAGCUUGUUGGCGGGGUAACGGCCCACCAAGGCGACGAUCAGUAGGGGGUCUGAGAGGAAGGUCCCCCACAUUGGAACUGAGACACGGUCCAAACUCCUACGGGAAGCAGCAGUGAGGAAUAUUGGUCAAUGGACGAGAGUCUGAACCAGCCAAGUAGCGUGCAGGAUGACGGCCCUAUGGGUUGUAAACUGCUUUUAUAAGGGAAUAAAGUGAGUCUCGUGAGACUUUUUGCAUGUACCUUAUGAAUAAGGACCGGCUAAUUCCGUGCCAGCCGCCGCAGUAA